rnacentral:rRNA from 1 species
UGGGGAAUUUUCCGCAAUGGGCGCAAGCCUGACGGAGCAAUACCGCGUGAGGGAGGAAGGCUUUUGGGUUGUAAACCUCUUUUCUCAAGGAAGAAGCACUGACGGUACUUGAGGAAUCAGCAUCGGCUAACUCCGUGCCAGCAGCCGCGGUAAUACGGAGGGUGCAAGCGUUGUCCGGAUUUAUUGGGUUUAAAGGGUACGUAGGCGGGUUUUUAAGUCCGUGGUGAAAGCCUACAGCUUAACUGUAGAACUGCCAUGGAUACUGGAAAUCUUGAAUUCAGUUGAGGUAAGCGGAAUUUAUGAUGUAGCGGUGAAAUGCAUAGAUAUCAUAAAGAACACCUAUUGCGAAGGCAGCUUGCUGGACUUGGAUUGACGCUGAGGUACGAAAGCGUGGGGAGCGAACAGGAUUAGAUACCCCGGUAGUCC